AAGAGAUUGUGAACGAUUAAGAGACUUGAGAGCCGAUUAGUGUCUAAGAGAGAAUCAUUGUGACUUACCAGGAAGUUGAAUAAAUCUCAUAGGAGUUGGCAUGAAAAAGUUAUCCCACUUUCAAAUCAGGUGAUUCCAGUUAUGAUUUUUAGUAAUGUUUAGAGUAAUCUGAGUGUUUAGGAAAGACUAGAAACGAUUU
rnacentral:lncRNA from 1 species